rnacentral:rRNA from 1 species
CCUACGGGAGGCAGCAGUGAGGAAUAUUGGUCAAUGGGCUUACGCCUGAACCAGCCAAGUCGCGUGAGGGAAGACUGCCCUAUGGGUUGUAAACCUCUUUUGUCAGGGAGCAACGCCGGCUACGUGUAGCCGGACUGAGAGUACCUGAAGAAAAAGCAUCGGCUAACUCCGUGCCAGCAGCCGCGGUAAUACGGAGGAUGCGAGCGUUAUCCGGAUUGAUUGGGUUUAAAGGUUGCGUAGGCGGAAUGCCAAGUCAGCGGUAAAAUCGCGGGGCUCAACCUCGCUCCGCCGUUGAAACUGGCGUUCUUGAGUGGGCGAGAAGUAUGCGGAAUGCGUGGGGUAGCGGUGAAAUGCAUAGAUAUCACGCAGAACUCCGAUUGCGAAGGCAGCAUACCGGCGCCCAACUGACGCUGAAGCACGAAAGCGUGGGUAUCGAACAGGAUUAGAUACCCCGGUAGUC